GAUGAACGCUGGCGGCGUGCUUAACACAUGCAAGUCGAACGAAGCACUCUAUUUGAUUUUCUUCGGAAAUGAAGAUUUUGUGACUGAGUGGCGGACGGGUGAGUAACGCGUGGGUAACCUGCCUCAUACAGGGGGAUAACAGUUGGAAACGACUGCUAAUACCGCAUAAGCGCACAGGAUUGCAUGAUCCGGUGUGAAAAACUCCGGUGGUAUGAGAUGGACCCGCGUCUGAUUAGCCAGUUGGCAGGGUAACGGCCUACCAAAGCGACGAUCAGUAGCCGACCUGAGAGGGUGACCGGCCACAUUGGGACUGAGACACGGCCCAAACUCCUACGGGAGGCAGCAGUGGGGAAUAUUGCACAAUGGGGGAAACCCUGAUGCAGCGACGCCGCGUGAGCGAAGAAGUAUUUCGGUAUGUAAAGCUCUAUCAGCAGGGAAGAAGAAUGACGGUA
rnacentral:rRNA from 1 species